rnacentral:rRNA from 1 species
UACGAAGGGGGCUAGCGUUGCUCGGAAUCACGUGGCGUAAAGCGCACGUAGGCGGAUUGUUAAGUCAGGGGUGAAAUCCUGGAGCUCAACUCCAGAACUGCCUUUGAUACUGGCGAUCUUGAGUCCGGGAGAGGUGAGUGGAACUGCGAGUGUAGAGGUGAAAUUCGUAGAUAUUCGCAAGAACACCAGUGGCGAAGGCGGCUCACUGGCCCGGUACUGACGCUGAGGUGCGAAAGCGUGGGGAGCAAACAGG